rnacentral:rRNA from 1 species
UACGUAGGUGACGAGCGUUAUCCGGAAUUAUUGGGCGUAAAGCGCACGCAAGCGGUUCGACAAGUCUGACGUGAAAUCUCCUGGCUUAACUGGGAGCGGUCGUUGGAAACUGUCGAGCUUGAGGCGAUGAGAGGGGUGCAGAAUUCCCCGGUGUAGUGGUGGAAUGCGUAGAGAUCGGGGGGGAAUACCUGUGGCGAAAGCGGCG